UUAACUUCCCUGAACCAGAGUUCCCACACUCACUUGCCUUAAAAGGAUGUGAGGUGGGAGGAAGUUUGAGAAUCCCUGAGAAAGUGCGUUGUAGGCUGGGAAGUGCUAUCCAAACAUAUGUUGUGAGAUUCAAUAGGUUGUGGGACGUUUGGGUGGUCUAGGGUAUACUAGGGUUCUAAAGCUCUGUGACAUCAUCAUGAGUCUCAGAAAUGGCCAGAAUGUUCCUUGCUGCAGAUGCAUUGGCCCCAUCUGCAGGUCCUCUUUGACACCUACCUUACUCUCUCCCUCCACUCACACUCUGAGAACUGUGCUCAGGGGCAGCGCUACAACUUCCACAUUGGUCUUUACAGGGCUUGAGUGAUUAUUUCAAGAACAGAACGCUGUGUGGAAACCUUUACCAUAUUUCGUUGUAUCUAAGACACAUUUUUUUUUUUUGAAAUUUAACAUCUCUAAGGUUGGGUUAUGUUUCUUCAUCAUUGUCAGGUUGGAGCUUAAUCAGCAGCACUUUUUUUUAAUGUCACACACAGUAAUGGUGAUGCAUCUCACAAUUGAGAUCAUCUUAGACAUGAUGGAAUAUGGAAUCGUGUGCCUGUUACAAGCCAGGCUCUUGUCUGGGUUCUAGAGACGGUGGAAACCAAGACAGCACCAUCCUCUAGUGGUGUUCACAUCCCACCACAGUGGAGUCAGGACUUUGAAGUCCUCCAUUGGAUCUUCUCGGAAGAUGAGGGAAAUGAGAGAGUGUGGAGAGAGAUUUUGUAAGUCCGGUCUGGAAGUGGUCAUUGUUCAGAAUCCAGCCACGUGGGUACAUGGAACUGUAAGCUGUCUCUUAGCGAAGAAUAAAACUGUGGACUGACCCCCACCCAUUUGCGAAGAAAGUACUGGGUCUUCAGCUUUCAUUGUUCAGCCGGUGGUCUUUGUGGACAACACCAGGGGCCCCUCCUGCUGAAGACUGUCUGGACUUCCUGAUUUUCACUCCUGUAUAAACCCCCUCCCCCAUUACUACCUUUGUCUCCUUGGGGAAAAAAAAUGUUUUUCACUUAAGCAAAAUAAUAACUACCCAGUAUUUGUUUCUGGAGUGAAAUUGUAAACUUCAUUGUACAUUCUUCCUGGCUUUGAUGCUUAUCGUGAAGAGUUCAGUGAAAAUAAAUUGUUUUUAUGAAAGCAGAGAAACCAUUUGAUAAACACGCUGUCUCUGAAAAUCGUUCCUGCAAAAGAGGUCAUUCUUUCACUUUAAAAGAAAUAGAAUAUAUUUCAGAAAACAGGCAGGACAACAUACAAAUUUUUUUUUAAGGCAGAGUGUAAAUACAGUGAAAAUUGCACACCUCCUGAUUGUGUGGAGUGUUUUGG
rnacentral:lncRNA from 10 species